rnacentral:tRNA from 1 species
GCGGACGUAGCUCAGCUGGUUAGAGCUCCUGACUGUGGAUCAGGAGGUCGGGGGUUCGAAUCCCCUCGUUCGCCCCA